AUUGAACGCUGGCGGUAUGCCUUACACAUGCAAGUCGAACGGCAGCACGGGAGCAAUCCUGGUGGCGAGUGGCGAACGGGUGAGUAAUACAUCGGAACGUGCCCAGUAGUGGGGGAUAGCCCGGCGAAAGCCGGAUUAAUACCGCAUACGAUCUAUGGGUGAAAGCGGGGGAUCGCAAGACCUCGCGCUAUUGGAGCGGCCGAUGUCAGAUUAGGUUGUUGGUGGGGUAAAGGCCUACCAAGCCGUCGAUCUGUAGCUGGUCUGAGAGGACGACCAGCCACACUGGGACUGAGACACGGCCCAGACUCCUACGGGAGGCAGCAGUGGGGAAUUUUGGACAAUGGGCGCAAGCCUGAUCCAGCCAUACCGCGUGCGGGAAGAAGGCCUUCGGGUUGUAAACCGCUUUUGUCAGGGAAGAAACGCUCUGGGCUAAUACCUCGGAGUAAUGACGGUACCUGAAGAAUAAGCACCGGCUAACUACGUG
rnacentral:rRNA from 1 species